AUCAAAUUGUCUCCUGUUUAAUAAAGCCGUUAAGCCCAAUUCAGGCUUCUUUCUGUCUCCAUGAGCUAGGAAGUAUUGUAGCAGAGGGGAGGACGCAAAGAACAGAGCAUAGAGACUACCAGAAAGCCCUGAGAAGCACGGGAAAUAACUCGUCUUCUCCUCGCAUAACCAAGCAAUGGCAGUGAUUAAAAUCGAUAUCAUUUCAGACGCGAUAUGUCCCUGGAAAAUAGUGCUUCAUCGGCUACCGCGACCUCCAAAAGGCCAUUUCCCUCUACCAAAAGAGACAUACCCAGGGGGCUCCAAGGAUGAAUUCCAACUGUCAUGGAAGCCUUACUUCAUAGACUAAGAACCCCCCAGCGAGAGCAUAAUUAUCCACGGUAAGACAUCCGCUAGCUUCCGCCGCCCCGUCCUCCCUUAUCUUUCAUUUACAAACAAUGCACUCAAAUAACCCCCACCCCGCGCACGAAAAAUUACCUCAUUAGUCACAACACAAUACAAUAUCCAGACCGGAUGGCUCCGGAAAAUGGGGCCCAAAAUGACCGAGGCGGCGCAGACGCGCCUAAAGCGCGUUGGGACGGCGUUGGGUCUCGAUUUAAAGUUCGGAGGGUAUAUGGGUAGCUCAAGGCUUGCGCACGUACUUCUACAUACCACCGGUGCGGAGAAGGGGCUUGUGAUGCAAGGUAAGGUUUCCGAUAUAUUGUUCCGGUAUCAGUUGGAGAUGGAGG
rnacentral:sRNA from 1 species